CUGGCGCUCCCCCUCGCCUCGCAGCGUUGCGGGGGGAAUAGCCUUUGCUCAAGGCCUCUUUUGGCAGAGGGGAUGGAAAGAAGAGGGGCGUGGGAAGGGAGGGGUGGGGGGGGGGAAAAAUCUCGGUGGCGUAUUUAAGGAACGAAAAGUUCCCAGUUAAUAAUCCCCCUCCUUCCCCCUCCCCGAUGCUGGUUCAGCUUUGAUUUUGGGGAGCGGAGGGGAAAUCUGCAGCGUCGUCUUCCGUGUGGCCAGGCAAGUGUGGAUGCCGCCCCGUCCCCUGGCUCUGGCAGGUCGUACCCUGCCUGCCUGCUCCAGCAGUGCUCUUCAGCCUUGCCGACCACUGUUUAGGGGAAGAGAAAUGCGAAGCAGAGCAUUCAGAAUGAUUUACCCAAGCCAUUUCUUUUUUUUUUUUUUCCCCUCCCCUAAACAUCUGUGAAAUUGAUUCUCAGCCUUCUUUUUCGUCUCUCAAACUUUGCUCGUUUCUUACUGACACCGUGCCUUCUGAUGCUGAUGGGAAGUUAAUCCCCUCACCUGAUGCCGGGUCAAGAGUGAAAAAGAAAUUCUCGUGCCCUGUUUGCACAGGGAGAGCCUUUGUGCACUAGCUGCAAUCUGGACGUUUUUCAAGGGCACUCCUUGCACUUCUUAUGGCGGACUGUACUUCAGCCUGUGUUGGUACAUUUAACAUAGGAAGGGAAAAUGAGCGAAUUUUGCCAAAAGAGUAGAAACAGUAAGAUACAGAGGAUGGUCAAGCACAACUUUAAGAUUCCCUACCCCCCCCUCCCUAAAUAUGAAAAAUAUAUUUUGUCUUUAUGGGAGGAAAGGUGAUGACAAGACUGCUGCCCCUGCGUUUAAAUCCUUCCAGUUGUUUAGUUCCGUACGUUUCUUUUUAGGGUCUCUGACUGUGAGAGUACUCUGAAGCCCCUUCUCUUUUGCACUUGUCUGCCUCUGCAUGGCAGAAGUCCCCUCCUUAGCAGCGGAGAGCUGGAUGCACAGCUCCCAGAGCCUCCUCGAGUUGCCUGGAGGAGCCCCUUGGCUGUGACACAAAGCACUUCUUUCCUCUUACCCUGGGCUGAGCGCGGUGCCACCUCCACCGCUCUCCUCCGUCCUGCCUGCCGGGCAGUUGUGGUGCUGCCACUACGCGUGUCAUGUUUGAGGACUCCAUUUUAUAACCAUAUACAAAUCUCGAUAGGUGAAAUAACAGCUCGUUCCUAUUGCAACUCUUUCUUCCCGUAGUUGUGAUGUAAUGAGGAUGCAGCUGACAGAGAUACCUAGGCCUGGAGAUGCUCUGUUUCCCCACAUCAGGAAGAAGCUUGUUAGACGUAGCGAUGUUUAAAUAUUGAGUCAUUACAAAGACAUUUGGAUGAAGAUGUUACCAAUGUCAGUAUCAUUUAACUGGACGGACGGAUGUGUUCUGGUCUGUCUCUGGAUCGUUUUGCUGAGUUACUGUGUUAUUAGCAGCAGUUUCUUGAGGUCUGAAGUGUGUCGUAGAAAUUCAAAUCGCUAAAUACAAUCAAUAAUUUAAUUUGUAGAAAGAGCACUUGGAAACUCAUUUUGGGUCUCUCUUUAUCACCGUCCUCCUUAUUUCGAAGGAGCUUGUUCAGGAAGGAAAAUGGGAUUGUUAUUUGAUUGCUCUUUAAAGAGAAGCACUUACCAGGCUGUCACCGUGUUUAUAUAUGUUUUUAUUUACUGUAUGAUUUUGCAGUUUGCAUUUCUCUUAUCCGCCCACUCUGUAAUUUGCAUCUACAAAAAAUAAUAAUAAUUCCCCAUUUCUGUACGAGUUGGCAUCGCUGUGCUGGGGUGUCAUGUUACGAAGGCUCCAUCACGUUUACUAAAUCUGCUAUGAAUUGCUUGAGUAUUAUAAUAAUUGUGUUUCAAAGUGUUCGUCAGAUUCAUGAACUAACCCUCUCAUAAUAAUAGUAAAACUAUUAUAAUUGAUGCUUCUUAAAAUGCAGCCUUCCUGUCCUGCCUUUGAAACAUCAAGGACCUGCUAUAGAGAAUUUCCUAGCGAAUUAUCAAAUCUUCAGCAAGCUUUGUGCUGGUCGGUAGACAUAACUUGAUCCGGCCUUCUUUCCUCUGAUGCUUGGUUGACUUCUUCCCAGAGCUCCAGCAGAUUUUACCUGCUAACCCUUUCAACAUCACUUCUGAAGUAAUUACCAUAAGUACUUUAUCAUUUACAUUCCACUAAUAAACUGGAUGGUGACACACCACAUUCCGAGCAUUGUAAGUUUGUGUUGCAUUAUUCCUUAGCAAUCCGUGCUACUUAAAGGCUAAAUCUCCACUCCUGGAAUGAAACCUGCUAAUAUCGACCUCUGUACUCAUGUGGGUUCGUUACUUACUGAGGACCAGACAUGUAUGGAGUAGUGCUCCAAGGCCAUUCUGCAUAUCUACAGCUUAAUUUUGUUUAUUUUUUUCAUAAUUACUGGCACUUGUGGCGGCCAGGAUAUUUGAAUACGUUGAAUGAUUUCAUCAGAUAACUUGUUGGUUUUGCCAUCUGGUAGCAGCUACGGUUUGAGUGAAUGACGGCAGAGCUGUUGGCAAGUUUUCUUCUCCAACAACGAGGAGACGUGAGGUGGUUUAUGGACUUGCAGUCAACGACACUGUAUUUUAUUUUUUUUAAGUUAAUCAAAUGAAAAUGGUUUGCUAUUUGUUUAAAAACUGUAGCUGACUAUGUCAAAGACAGCUAUUUAUUAAAGAAAUAAAAAAAAAAAAAAAAAACACACCAAACACCACCACCACCAACUAGGCCCAGUCCAGCAGUUACUGCUCAGUUGAAUAAUCCCCUUCAUUUCAGUGGAGUUAUCAGUACAAUCUGGGAAACUGAAUCUCUUCAUUGUGUGGUCCUACCAUGCUUCCCCCUACACAUACAAUUCUUCAGGGGUCUUGGAAGUUCGCAGUAAGGGGCCUGUGUGACUAAAGACUAUUAUGCUGCCUGCUGUUUCCUGUAUUGGUGCAUUUUAUUUAGGUACAAAAAGGCUCUGCCAGCACUUUCUUCCUGUGCAGUUCUUUGCAUGCCCUCUAGGAUAUCAAAUUUCAAAUUCUUUUUGUGUCAAGUAGUAAUCAAGAGUAAUGUAUUUGGCCCAUGGUGGGUUAUUUCUUUUUUUUUUUUGGGUGCCAUUGAGUGCUCAAAUCUAUCCAACAGUUGGAGGUUUUCACUCUUAUUAUGUACAGCUAUUGAAUCCGCACGCUGAAUUUAAGAGAUGUAGGUUUUACGUGAGAGAUCUUUUCAGUAAAACUGAACGAGUGAUGAUAGACAUCUGCAGACAUGCAAGAGGGUGGGGUUCACGGCCUGAAAUCCGUAUGUACGUGAACAAUAUUAGAAGAGGGCAAUAGGUGGAGGAAGACUAACAGAAAGAAACCGUGCUCAGUUCUUGCCUUGUUAGUGUCACCAUCUUUAGUGACAAUGUGUGUAUGUGUGUUCUUUUUAGGAAGUUUAGUGCAGAAUGGCGAUGAACGGCGUAACUCAUAUAUAUGACAUACAGAAUCCAUUUUAGAGGAGGCUAGCAGAGGAAAAGGAUGGACUUACAGCUGAUCCUACAAGCAGUAGGGCAAUGGUGACAUUGGAAUGAGGCUCAGGCAGUAGAGGCUCAGAGGAGUAGCUGGUGGUAUGGCAGCUGAGUUUUAUCAUCCGUCAUCCAGUCUAAAUAAUUCUUUCAUCUAAGAAUAAUAAGUCCUUUAUCACUACAAUAUGCUUUGAAUAUAGAAAAAAAAAUGCCUUGUUUGCUCUCAGUGUUUUAAUGUAUUGGAACAAAAUGUAAAAAGCCACGCAUCUUGGUUCUGUUUUGACUGCUUUUCCUUCUGCCUUCAGUAGAUACCUUUUCUUUGUUUUGAAAAUUGUUAUAUCCCUCGUAGCCUUUCCACAUAUCAUCAUGCAGAACCUAGCGGACUGACAAUGUUUGUAUGGCCUUCGCUUCAUUUUCUUCAGGGGCAGGCAGCUGUAACCUCUGGGUGGGAUGAUGACCGAUGCUUGUGCUGGGGCUUGGUGCAGCGCUGUAGUUCAGGUGGAAGUGCAGGCCAGUGGUGUAAACUGCUGCUUCCUGCCCACCCCUCGCCCCUGUUGUCGUUACCCGAAUUUGUUUGGCUCUGCUUUUGUUGUCUAAUCCCAUGAAAUAGUGGAGGAAACGGGUACUGAGGGACAUUCAAGUCUUCCCUUGUUGGAUUGCUGGAAGCCAGCAGUAGCUGCUGGCAGGUUUCAGCAGGAGUAAAAGACAAUAAAUAAAAAAAAAAA